GAAAUGCGAUAAGUAAUGUGAAUUGCAGAAUUCAGUGAAUCAUCGAAUCUUUGAACGCACAUUGCGCCCGCCAGAAUUCUGGCGGGCAUGCCUGUUCGAGCGUCAUUUCAACCCUCGAGCUCCCCUUUCGGGGCGAGCCCGGCGUUGGGGACCCGGCGCUAACAACGCCGGCCCCGAAAUGGAGUGGCGGCCCGUCCGCGGCGACCUCUGCGUAGUAACAACCACUCGCACCGGGACCCGGGCGCGGCCACGCCGUAAAACACCCCACCUUCCGAAUGUUGACCUCGAAUCAGGUAGGAAUACCCGCUGAACUUAAGC
rnacentral:misc_RNA from 1 species